UACCUCCAUUGGGAGCUAAAUCCUCUACACCAAAGAUAAAAGGUAUAUACAUGGAAAGACAUGCAGUAUGGGAAACAAACAAGAAGAGUUGUAAAGUACAGUGCAACUAGAAAACUAUG
rnacentral:lncRNA from 1 species